rnacentral:rRNA from 1 species
UAAAGUCUAAUUAGCUACAUAUAAGUAGUUAAUUGGGUGACGUUUUUUUGUCGCAAGUACUAAUUGUGGGCUUCAAUGCUUGUGGUUAGUCGCUUGCGAAGCGUGCCUUGAAUAAAGCAAAGUGCUCAACGCAAGCGUAACGCUAAUAUGUAAUAGCAUGGAACGAAUUGAAAUGUGCAGGCGUUAGUUUAGUUAGUUGGUGGGGCUGCAAACUUUACAUGUAGCCUACCUUGCAAGCAAUUGCUCGGUAUUAUUAUGUGUCUUGUGUGUAGUCCGCCGAUUGGUCUGUGUUCAAUGGGUUGCCGGGGUGGUUAAACAUUCCGGUUGGACGUUGGACGCUCACAGGCCAUUCGGUACUAAACUGCCUGUCGGUUAAGAGGGACAUUUGAGGGCGUUAGUACUUGGAGGCGAGAGGUGAAAUUCUUAGACCCUCCAAAGACUGACAAAUGCGAAAGCAUUCGCCAAGAGUGUUUUCAUUGAUCAAGAACGAAAGUUGGAGGUUCGAAGACGAUCAGAUACCGUCCUAGUUCCAUACAGUAAACGAUGCCAACACGCGAUCAGUCUGAAGUAAUUUGGAUUGAGGUUGGUCGCCCAGGGAAACUGUAAGUGUUCUGGUUGUGGGGAGAGUACGGUCGCAAGGUUGAAAUUUAAAGGAAUUG